rnacentral:rRNA from 1 species
UACAGAGGGGGCAAGCGUUAUUCGGAAUUAUUGGGCGUAAAGGGCGCGUAGGCGGCGAUUCAAGUGACGGGUGAAAUCCCUCGGCUUAACCGAGGAACUGCCUGUCAGACUGGGUUGCUUGAGACCGGGAGAGGCGAGUGGAAUUCCCAGUGUAGCGGUGAAAUGCGUAGAUAUCAGGAGGAACACCGGUGGCGAAGGCGCUUUCUGGACAGAUACCGACGCUGAGGCACGAAAGCAUGGGGAGCAAACAGG